CCUCUAGAAGAGGAGGAGCUGGUGUCCUACGUCCUGUCUGGGCUUGAUUAUGAGUUCAAUUCACUCAUGUCAGCCCUUGUGACUCAAGUUGAACCUGUUACAAUGGGUGAGCUUUAUGCUCAAUUGCUCAGUUUCGAGA